CCAUGUAAAGAAGCAAAAUUUUGAUGACAAAUUAAGUUUGGGUACACCUGAACUUGGCUUCUAUGUUCAAAUUGAUACCUAAGGUCCUUUUUUUUUUGGUCCAGCUAGGUUCUGGAACUUGGUUUUAAAGUUCAAUUUGGUAGGUAAAGUUUAUUUUGGUCCAAGUAGGUACCUAAACUUGCCUUCUUGGUUCAAAUUAGUACUUAUGUAAAGGGCUUAUUUGAACCAGUUUGACUUGUGAAACUAAGUUCAGGUACUAAUUUCAACCAAAACGCCAAGUUUAACUAGCUAAUUGGACAAAAAAAAAUCUUAAGUGCUAAUUUGAACUUUAAAGCCAAAUUCAAGUACCAAAAUGUAUAUUUAGCUAUUAAGUUUUCUUGUUUUAAAGGAUCUGAAAAUGUACCAAAUUGUUUUGGAGAAUGGUAAAACCGCAUUGCAGCUUUGUAAUAAUCAACAUAAAUAAUGCUGAUUUGGGGAUGAAGGUUUCGGAUAUUUUCGAGUUCUUUUCGAAGUAAUUCAUUGUGAUGUUGAGAGAAUUGGUUCAACCAUGUUAGACAACCAGUUAAGGGAUCAUAUUGAUCCCUUUCUGAACCAUGAAAUUUUGUCAGCAAAGAUGGGGAGCAUCCAAUAGGAAAGUUUCCGGGGACCAAAAAUGUCAUUGCCCCUAACUCGAUCAACUCCUGCAUAUAUAGCAAAUGUUAAUAACUUGAAGGUAAAAACACCUUUUUAGUUUCUCUCAAUUUUAAUAUUGAGCAAAUUGGUCAUUCUAAAACAAAUCGGAGUAAUUUAAUCGUUGCCAAUUUUGAAAGUGAGCAACUAAUGACAGUUAAUUGUGGCAUUAAUAUCUUACGCCAAUUGUAAAUAAUUUUGGUUGAUAUAAUAACAAAUUUAUAUUCUGCGUAAAUGUUGAUAAAAUAUGUAAAUUUUGCAGACUAAAUUUGUUAAAUCAAGAUCAAAUUGAUAGAAUGUGUAAAAGUUGUGGACUAAAUUUUUAAAUUAGAAUAAAACUGACAUAAUAUGUAAAUGUUGAGAUGAAAUUGAUCAAAUGUUUAAACUUAGAAGGCUAAAUUUGAUAUGUUACCAAAAAAAAUAUGUAUAAUUGAUGAAAUAUGUAAAUUUUACAGACUAAAUUUGUUAAAUCAAGAUCAAAUUGAUAGAAUGUAUAAAAGUUGUGGACUAAAUUUUUAAAUUAGAAUAAAAUUGACAUAAUAUGUAAAUGUUGAGAUGAAAUUGACAAAAUGUUUAAACUUAGAGGGCUAAAUUUGAUAUGUUACCAAUAAAAAUAUGUAUAAUUGAUGAAAAAUAUUAACAGAUUAAUUAUUGCUCACUUUAACAGGAUUAAAUUGUUGUAAUUUUUUAAAGGGACUAAUUUUCUCAAUAUAGAAAUUGAAAGGGACCAAAGAUAUCAUUUUACCUAAUUUAAAACAAGGACAGCAUCCAUCAAUUCUUACAUUGAUUGAUGACGAUAUGAUAUCAACAACAAGAGGGACAAGUUGUCGGAUAUUCUCAAUGUUUUUCCCUUGCAUGAAUGCAUGAUUGUAGUCAUUUCCUCCAAUCUCUCCCAUCACAAUCAAUGAGUUCCUUAGGAGCUCUUUGCAAUCUGUAGAUCAUAGCUUAUUAUUAGCAUUUGAAAUAAAUAAAUAAAUAACAUGGUAGGGCUUUGAAACAUUAAAGCUUACUUGAAGAAGAUGAGCAAAGAGAUGGCAAUAAAUGUUUGAAGGAAUUCACUUCAACUCCCAAAGAAAUGUUGGUGGAGACACUAUGGAUUCCUUGUUCAGCAAGAAACGACGAAUUCAGUGCAGUAGCACUCGCUACUGCAAAAUUCGCCCCCUUUUGAAAUUUCUCCCAUUUUCCACUUUUAGAUCCAUAAAAUGGUGGUAAAAAGGAAAAUCCCAAAGCUUCAGCUGCAAAAUCAUGUCCAAUUGGAACCACAUAAGCAUAUAUUAUGAUAGAUAACAGGUACAGAACCAGGAUAAAACAUCAGGGUGCCAAGCAUGGCAAUCGGUACGUUUUGAUACCAAAUUGGUUUGUUCAAAAUUUUAAUCUAUUUCGGUCAAUUUUAAUUAAUACUGAUUUAUACCAACGUGUAUUAACCUAAGAAGAAGAAGAAAGAAGAAGAAGAUGCUUAAUUUACUUAAUUUUAAAAUUCACAAGGACUACGAUAGAUUUUUAAAAAAAUGAAAUCAUGGCUCAAAUUCUCUAGUUAAAAAUUUGUAAGAACCUAAGAAAGGUUUGGGGACCAAUGUCCUCCCACCCACCAUUUAGUUUGGACCCUUAUUGAUAAUCAGAUCGCUAUGAUUGUAUUAUGUGUUAAUUAUAUCCUAGUGUGAAUAUAGCAUGGAAAUUAAACAGGAUUACUUCAAGAAAUAAGAAGAUUUAGACCAACGAAGAAAAACAUUGGAUUACAUACCGAUGAAAUCUAUAACCAAGCGGCCAUCGCAGAAUCGACCGGUGGGAUGGUGAAAGAAGGUGCGGCCAUAGGGAAGAAAAGCAGAAUGAGGAGGGUUGGUGGAAUCUGAAAGUGAAAUCUCUAGUAAGUUGCCUGUAUCAGUUAAUGAAUCACCAAAGCUGAAAAUCGACGUGAAACAUCCAUUUACUUGUGAAUUAAUAAUGCUGCUUAUUGUUACAACGAGAAACAUAAGGAAGUGUUGUUUCAACGAAGAACAUGAUGAAGAAGUAGCCAUUGAAGCAUUUCAAGGAAGCAAAAAUAGAAAUUGCACCAACACCUUUUGAAAUGUGGAUAUUUAUAUCACCGCUUUCUCACCAACAAAUUUCAAGUGAAGUAUAGACUUUGGGAGUAUAGUAUCUUUUUCAAUAUAUAUUUAAAUUCAUUUCAAAUUUAUACUAUACUUAAAAUGACUAAUUGAAUUAGUAUUAUGAAUCAACCUGACCCUAAUUUAAUUGUGAAAUUACUAAAAUAUCUUUACUCUAAAGGGUAAUUAAUAUAUAUAUAUGGGUGUGUGAUUAUAGAAGUUGUAUGUAUGUAUGUAUGUAUGUAUGUAUGUAUGUAUGUAUAAAAACCGGAAGUUGUUUUGUUUUCAAUGAUUUAUCAUUUCCAAAUGAUAGGAAUGGACGAAGCUAGAACAAUUUUUUAGGGGACCGAAUGAAAAUUUAAUUUUUUAUAGUUUAUAUUUUAUAAUUUUUAAAGAAUUAAAUUUUAUUUUUAUAAUUUUAAGGAGACUUUUCUCUGUAGAGUAUGUACUUACGUAUGUAUGUAAGAUGAGCAAUUGCUUUCUGUAUAUGAAUAUCAGUGAGAAAAUUAAUUAGAUGCAAAGUAGCUUUCUAUAUAUAUAUAUAUAUAGUUAGCUGCAAAGUGGCUUUCAAUUAUUUAAAAACAUUAUCUUUAAGCAACUAUAUAUAUCUUAAAUAAUAAUAAUAAAACAGAGGAAUUAUAUCAUAUAUUUUUUAUUAAAUUAAUAAUUAAUUUUAAUAUUUUAUAUUUUAUUCUGUUAAGUAAUAGUCCAUGUUAGAUAUGUUUUAGGGACUAUGUGUUCAAGUCAAAAAAUCUAUAGAUAUUUAAGAGGUUUUGAACAAAAAUACUAAAUUUAAAAAAUAAAUUUAAAUAAAAAAUUAGACUUAUAAAAAAAUAUGAGUCGUAAUUGAACUCUAACCGUCAAGUUCUAAGCCUAGUCAAGCUAGACUCAUAUUCUAAUUUUUAUAAUAUGUUAUUUUUAUAUAUUUUUAUAUAUGAUGUAAUUUAUGUCAUAUAAAAAUAAAAUAUAUUCACUUUAUUAUAAAUAUUAAAAAAAAGAGUAAAGCAUAAAAACGAUCAUUUAAUUAUUUAAUUUAUUUUAUUUCGAUCACUUAACUAUUAAUUUUUCGAUUUAAUCACGUAAUUUUUUAAAAUUAAAUAAAAUUAAAAAUUAAUUUAUUUAACCCUCCAAAUUUUUUUAAACCUUCAAAUAAACAUGUUUAUCAUUUUUCUUUUUACCUACCAUGACAUGACAUUUCAAAACCAACAAUGAGUACAAUUUCAUAAAGAUAUCAUAAUAGCCUACUUUCUUUGUCUUCUUUCUCUUGGGAAUUUUCUCACUCACUUUCACUUCACUCUCAUAAUUUCUUUCCCCAAACCCCAAACUUGUAACACAAACCCCACCAGCAACAGACAAUGCCAAGGGAAUUGUUUGUAAUUAUGGUAAUUCUUACUAGUUUGGUACCAGGGCUUGUUCAAAUUUUGAAUAAUUCGAAGCACCUUAUAUCUGACUCAGACGUUAUGAGCAAAUUUUGAGAAAUUACAUGCACUCGGUUUAAAGCCAGAAAUUAAAAUUCGGAAAUGAAACAUAAAACAAAAAUUGAUAAUGAUAUUUCCAAUUUUUAGAGAAAAACACCAUAUUAAAUUUAUUCAUUUUAAUUGUAGAAAACACUUAUAAGAUCACUUAGUUUUGCAGUGGAAAUCUUAAGUUAAACAGAGUUUUGAAAAUUGUAGUUUGACUUUGAAACUCAACGUAUUGCAGUUUGAAAUAAAAUAUUCUCAAUACGAUAAAGUAGUUCAAAACGAAAAAUAAAAUCCAAAACAGUUAACAUAAAAGUCCAAUUGAAACAAUCAGAUGCACAUAAAUUAACAAAUACAUUUCAGAUGCAUGAUUAGAUUCAGAAUCGAAUGUAUUAUCAUAAUUAGAUCCUACCCCCAUCCGCUACAAACCAUAUCCGUCCAUCCCUACACACCAAAUAGGUAUCAAAUACCUAUCCAACCCUACACACCAAUAAGUGAGCGUAUGUCACUUUUUAGAAAUUAUGUAGUAAAGCUACCAGAUAAUAAUACACGGUAACCCACCAAAUUUAGAAAUAUGUGAUCAAGCUACUAGAUAAGGCAGAUUGUUAAACUACAACACUUCCUUCAUAAAACAUAUUUCGACCCCAAUGCACAUGCAAUACUAAUCAAAUAACAAAUGUGUGUAUGACAUAAAUGCUAUACACAUCAGAUUUUAAAUCGCUUUGGUAGAAUUCACAUCAUGCUAUUAUAUAUGACAUACAUGCUAUACAUAUCAUGCUUUUAGAAAUCACAUUUAACAGAAAUAGAAUAUCAAAUCCCAUGUUUUACAAUCUUAUUUAUACAAUAUGGACCCUACAAAAGACUAAAUUUGAAUCGCACAUCAAAAACAACCAUAGGGUAAAUUUUCAGAAAAUGGGCCCACACGUCUGUGUGGCCCAUAAGGCCUAACACAUGCCCAUAUGGCCCGUACGACCCAAACAGCCCAAAUCGUGUGGUCCAAACGGUCGUGUGAUGUCGACAAUAGUUUUUAGGCAUCUCGUUGUUCGUUAUUUUUUGAGUUUUCCAUUAUACACCUGGGUGUUUUUUUAUGCGAAUCCAAAAGCUAGAUUUCCAAUACGUAAAUCGACAUUUCACACAAAUUAGCCAACGAAAACUAAAAAUUCCUAAAUCCUUAAUUUGGUUCCAAACAUCCACAAUCAACCUUAAAACCAUAAAAAUUCGGCCCCCAACAAGGCAUAACAUCAUUUACCCCCAAAGCAAUAGUAACCGAACACACUAAAUUUACGGGAGGAUCGCCAAAAGUCACAAGUUCUUCUCCUAUUAGAAAACCAUACUAUCAAUCAACAAAAUUCGUAUCACACCAAAACAUAAGCUGAGUACCAAGAAAACUAAAACUCUAGCCACAGAAAAUAACAACACUUACAUUGAAUUUACUUACGUUCAAUUAUAAAAACACCACGCAAUGCUCGUACAAAUGACGGAAAAAAAAGAAGAAAUAAAAACAUGGAAAAAAUGAAAAUUAAGAAGAGAGAAGAGAGAAAAAAAACAUGAAAAAGAAGAGGGAAAGAUGGAGAUAGUGGACGUUAGAAAAAUGGGAGAAUUUUUUGGGAAAUUUUGAUUAUAAAAUUAUUAUUUAAGAAAAAUAAAUCUGAUAAGUUUCUAUCUAAACCAAUUUUCUAACCACUUAGCAGCCUAUCAGAAUUCAAAUUUAGCCCAAACACUACCACAUGAGUGGCACACAGAGAAUUUAGCAAAAAUAAUUCAUGUUUGCACACACAAUGAUUUAAACACAAGACCAAAGGAUAAGCUGAAACAUUAUCAUUGAAUCAACAGGCUUAUUCUGUCAUUAGUUGAGCGAAAAUAAUAUUUAAGCCCAAAGUUCAAAGAUAGAGGUUUAAUAAAAAAAAUUAACAAAAUUCAAGGGGAAAGGAUUUGAACCUGGAACCUCACAUACACAAAUACAACACUUAACCACUGAACCAGAUUAAUUCACUUGACUAUUUUUAACAAUUCAAAAACUAAAAUUUUGAGGUGUUACAACUCUCCCUCUUAGAAGAAAUUUCGGCCUCGAAAGUUACCUGAUUCAAAUAGAUGUGGGUAUUGCUGUUGAAUCAAGUCCUCAAGCUCCUAAGUAACUUCCUCUGUACCAUGAUUUCGUCACAGCCUAAGAUCUGUAUCGGCUCCUCCUCAAAAGUCAAAUCCGACCUUACCUCAAUUUCUUCAACAGACACAAUAUGAGAUGGAUCAGACAUAUACCGCAUUAACAUAAAGACAUGGAACACAUCAUGUAUAAGGUCCAACUCUAGAGGCAACUCUAGCUGAUACGCAACCAACCCAACUCAUUUCAAAACUUAAUAAGGCCCAAUGAACCUAGGGCUCAACUUGUCCUUACGUCCAAGCUGAAGGACCUUCUUCCACAGAGAUACCUUAAGAAAAACCCAAUCUCCCACUAUAAACUCUGUCUUUCCUCUUCAGACCCGUAUAAGACUUUUGUCUAUUAGAAGCUGCCUUAAGAUAAUCCCGAAUCAGUCUAAUCUAAUCAUCAAUCUUAGAAACUAAAUCAGGACUCAUAAUCCUCCUCACACCCAACUUAGUCCAACACAAAAGGGUGCGACACUUACGAACAUAAAGAGCCUUGUAAGGUGUCAUUUGAAUAUUAGACUGAAAGUUGUUAUUAUAAGUGAACUCAGUCAGUGGUAGAAACUCCUCCCAACUACCACGGAAGUCGAUAACACAACUCUAUAACAUAUCCUCCAACACCUGAAUCACUCUCCCGGAUUGCCCACCAGUCUGUGGAUGAAAUGCAAUACUGAAGUUUAAUCGAGUACCUAGAGCCUCAUGCAAUUUCUUUCAAAAUUAAGAUGUAAAUUGGGGGUCUCUGAUAAGUGAUAAAAUUAACAUAUUUUAAUCUCAUUCUUAAUGCAUUUUUGGAUGAUUUUUUAUGCAAACCGGUGAAUUUUAUGCUCCUAAUACUUUAAAUUCAUGUUUCUAUAGUUAAGAGAGCAUUUGAGAGCAAAAGGAGCUAAAAACGACUAAAAUCAAACAAAUAGAGAAGAUUUCAAGAGCCACACGGACCAGGCAUUCCCACACAAGUUGGCAUACGACCAUGUGCCAGACCGUGUUGAUUUCGUGAUUUGCAUCUCAAACAUGCAGAAAAAUACAAUUUUUAGGCUUUCUAGGCAUUCUAAAGGCUACAAAUACCAAAUGGAAGAAGAGAAUAGGGGGUGAUCAGAGAGUAUUGAAGAAAACAACUUGAAGAACACCAUUGAAGCCAACUUUAAAGCAGAUUUCCAUUAAGAUUGAAGACCUUCUUUUAAUUUCUUUGAAGUUUUUCUGAGUUUAUUUAUUUCUUGUGGUUAUUCUGUCUUAGAGAUGUUUUUAUUUACAAUUAUGAACUAAUUCUCUAGAUACCUAGGGGAGAUGAGCCCUAUGAUAAAUUCUGCCAUUUGAUUUCUAUUUUAAGCAAUAAAUACUUGAAUCUUGUUCUCAGAUUAUGUGUGCUUAUCUUUUGUUUUAAUAUUUUUGGGAUAUUAAUUCAUGUUUAAUAUGCUUAAAUAAGAGAAGGAAAAGUCUUUAUUUAAGAGUAGAUCUAGCAUAAUUGAGUGGGAGUUGCAUGCAAUCCUAGAAAUAGGACAACAUAAAUCUAUCGGAUUAGAGUCAAAUCUAAUAGGGGAAUUCAUAGAUCGAGUUAAUGCGAUAAUAGAGGUUUUAAUUAGAAAAAAUUUUCAAUUAAUUAACCUAGAGUCAACUGCUCUUAGUCUUGAAAGGGAUAUUACCAUAAUUUAGGGAUUUCUACAGAUUAAGAUACCAAGUGAAUAAAUCAUUUAAUUCAGAUUCAUAAUGAUAGAUGAAGUCUAGAUGGAUUCUUUCUUGGGUAUUGUUUAGCUUCUUAGUUAUUAUUCAAUUAUUUUUCCCGAUUUAUUCCCUGUUGAGUUCUUUAGUUAAUUAAUUAAAUAGAUUUUAGUUUAAACCAAUCACUCCAAUUUGCCGGUUAAAUAAUAGGAAAACGGUAAUUACUAGUACUUUUAGUCCUCAUGGAUACGAUAUCUUUACUCACCAUAGCUAUACUAUUUAUCGAUACGUGCUCUUACCUUUAUCGUAUUUUUAGUUAGUUUCGUGACUAUCAAUCUCGAUCUGAAAUAAUCGAUACUAGAACCUCAUGAAGUCUAACAAUCUAAAAAAUGUAUAGCUUCGCUAGCUUCUGUAGAGAAUAAUCAGUCCUAAUCAGAAGGAAAUGAGCAAACUUGGUCAACCGAUCCAUGAUGACCCAAAUAGAAUCCUUCUUAGUGGGUUUCAAGGGUAACCCACUAAGGAAGUUCAUAGUUACCAGUUCUCAUUUCCACAACGGAAUCUUAAUGGGUUGAAGCAAACCUGAGGACAGUUUGUGCUCAGCCUUAACUUGAUGGCACGUCAAACAUCAAGAAACAAAGUCAAUUACCUCACUUUUUAACUUGAGCCACAGUACAACUCUCAAAGAUCUCAAUACAUCUAUUUCCGCCAGGAUGCAUAGUAUAAAGGCUACUAUGUACUUCCCGCAAAAUAAACUGCCUCAACUCAGUAUCAUUAGGCACACAAAUCUGACCUCUGAAACACAGAAUACCCUUACUAUUCAACCCAAAAUUAGAAGUCCUACCCUCCUCAACUUGCUAAAGCCAAAGAACCAAAGAAUCAUUCAAUAUUUGCUUAUCCUGAAUUAGAUCAAUCCAAGUCGGCUUAACUUGCAACUCGGCUAACAAACUAUCAUCCUCAAACAGACUUAGCCUUACUAAGAUGAUACUCAAUGACACUAUCAUAGUCCUUAAGUAACUCAAUUCAUCUACGUUGCCUAAGAUUCAACUCCUUUUGAGUAAGGAGGUACUUGAGGCUCUUGUGGUUAGUUUAGAUGAUACAACUCUCACCAUACAAAUAGUGUCGACACACAUAAUUUAGCAAAAAUAGUUCAUGUUUGCACAUGCAAGGAUUCAAACACAAUACCAAAGGGUAAACUAAAACCUUACCACUAAACCAACAAACUCAUUCUAUCAUUAAUUGAGUGAAAAUAAUAUUAAAAUAGUGAAAAAAAAGGUUGGAGAAUUAAAAUGACUUUUUUUACAAGGUUUGAGGACUAAAUAAGUUAUUCUGCCUUAAAUAAAAAAUCAUAUAUUAAAAUUUGAUAUGAAUAAUGACAAAUUUAAAUCAUAACAAUUACUCAAUUUGUCAUUUUAACUCUUAUUUUUUUUGUAGGUCAUUUUGACCCUCAAUCUUUAAAUUUUAAUCAAAUUACUUUUUUUUAACAACAAAACUAACGAACUAUUAAAAUUUUAUUGGCAUUGAUGUCACCACUAGCGUGCAAUCCAUGUAUAAUUCAUAAAAUUUCAAAAAAAAUAUUUAAAAAAUAAAAAUUUUUAAAAGGGCUCAUAAAAAAUUUUAGAAUAUUUAUCCAUGUUAGCAGUGAAGUAUACGUAAAAUGCCACACGAGCUAUCACGUCAAUACCAUUAAAAUUUUAAUAGUUCAAUCAUAUUUCUGUAAAAAAACAAACAAACAGUUUAACUAAAAUUUAAAAGUUGAGGACCAAAAUGAUAAAAUAAAUAAACGUUAGUAGUUAAAAUUAUAUUUAUACUAAUUUAAUAUAAUAGCCUUUAAUAAAUUUAAAUAUGAGUGAAUUAAAAUAAAAUUUAAAAUUUAAGUAGGAUUAAAUUUGAAUAAUUAUAUAUAAUGUUUAAAGUCGAUACUAUAAGCUUUAAAACUUAAGUAGGAUUAAAUUUAAAAGCUUUGAACAAGUUGAUGUACUUCCUUAAUAUCCGAUCAUGACUUCUAAGUCAGGUUUAGAGUGUUACAAUAAUGAAAACUUUUAAAUAGUUUAAUGAUCGAAUUGUAACUUUUUUAGUUAAUUGAGUUUAUUGAGUUAAGGUUGAGUGAAUUAAUUCGACAAACAAUUUAUAUACUUAUUACAGUUUAGACCCCAAACAUUGGAUAUAGAAUUCUCAGUUUGUUUACGGUAGAUAAGGGACACAAGCUCCCUAAUCUAGGAAUGGUGUUCAUCAAUUCUUCAAAUACAGUAUGGGCAAGCCAUUUGUUGACAACUUCUGUAAAAUGAAUCCCAUCCCAGCUAAUAUACGAAGAAGGGUCGUUGCAGCAUUGUUUUAAUGGCGGAUAACCACAAUAUAUCAAAGGAUCGUAAUUAUAGAGACCUCCAAUUCCACAACAUGCCUUCAAAGUUUCUUUAAAUCCUGAAACCAUUCGAGGAAAUUCCAUGUAAAGAAGCAAAAUUUUGAUGACAAAUUAAGUUUGGGUAAAUAUACAUUUUGACACUUGAACUUGGCUUCAAUGUUCAAAUUGAUACCUAGGGUUUUUUUUUUUUGGUCCAGUUACGUUCUUGAACUUAGCUUUAAGGUUCAAUUUGGUAGCUAAAGUUUAUUUUGGCCCAACUAGGUACCUAAACUUGGCUUCUUGGUUCAAAUUAGUACUUAUGUAAAUGGCUUAUUUGAACCAAUUUGAAUUAUGAAGCCAAGUUCAGGUACUAAUUUAAUUUCAACCAAAAAGUCAACUUUAGGUAGUUAAUUGGACCAAAAACAAAUCUUAGGUGCCAAUCUGAACUUUGAAGCCAAAUUCAGGUACCGAAAUGUAUAUUUAGCUAUUAAGUUUUCUUGUUUUAAAGGAUCUGAAAAUGUACCAUAGUUUUUCGGAGACUGGUAAAACGGUGUUGAAGCUUUGUAAUAAUCAACAUAUAUAAUGUUGAUUUGGGGAUGAAGGUUUCGGAUAUUUUCGAGUUCUUUUCGAAGUAAUUCAUUGUGGUGUUGAGAGAAUUGGUUCAACCAUGUUAGACAACCAGUUAAGGGAUCAUAUUGAUCCUUUUCUGAACCAUGAAAACUUGUCAGCAAAGAUGGGGAGCAUCCAA
rnacentral:lncRNA from 1 species